rnacentral:rRNA from 1 species
AUUGAACGCUGGCGGCAGGCCUAACACAUGCAAGUCGAGCGGAUGAAGGGAGCUUGCUCCUGGAUUCAGCGGCGGACGGGUGAGUAAUGCCUAGGAAUCUGCCUGGUAGUGGGGGAUAACGUCCGGAAACGGGCGCUAAUACCGCAUACGUCCUGAGGGAGAAAGUGGGGGAUCUUCGGACCUCACGCUAUCAGAUGAGCCUAGGUCGGAUUAGCUAGUUGGUGGGGUAAAGGCCUACCAAGGCGACGAUCCGUAACUGGUCUGAGAGGAUGAUCAGUCACACUGGAACUGAGACACGGUCCAGACUCCUACGGGAGGGAGCAGUGGGGAAUAUUGGACAAUGGGCGAAAGCCUGAUCCAGGCAUGGCGGGUGUGUGAAGGAGGUCUUCGGAUUGUAAAGCACUUUAAGUUGGGAGGAAGGGCAGUAAGUUAAUACCUUGCUGUUUUGACGUUACCAACAGAAUAAGCACCGGCUAACUUCGUG